GUGCAGCAGUCGAGAAACUUUACAAUGUGCGAAAGCACGAUAAGGGAACUCUGAGUGCCUCCUAAGGAGGCUGUUCAGGUGUCUAAAAGCACCUGAAGGAAGGGCUGGGUAAGACCGGUGCCAGCCGCCGCGGUAACACCGGCAGCCCAAGUGGUAGCCACGUUUAUUGGGUCUAAAGCGUCCGUAGCCGGCUGGGUAAGUUCCUUGGGAAAUUUGGCUGCUUAACAGUCAAGCUUUCAGGGAAUACUGCCCGGCUUGGGACCGGGAGAGGUCAGAGGUACUCCAGGGGUAGGGGUGAAAUCCAUUAAUCCUUGGGGGACCACCGGUAGCGAAGGCGUCUGACCAGACCGGGUCCGACGGUGAGGGACGAAGGCUA
rnacentral:rRNA from 1 species